rnacentral:rRNA from 1 species
GACGAACGCUGGCGGCGUGCCUAAUACAUGCAAGUAGAACGCUGAAGAGAGGAGCUUGCUCUUCUUGGAUGAGUUGCGAACGGGUGAGUAACGCGUAGGUAACCUGCCUGGUAGCGGGGGAUAACUAAUGGAAACGAUAGCUAAUACCGCAUGAUAUUAAUUGUCGCAUGAUAAUUAAUUGAAAGAUGCAAUUGCAUCACUACCAGAUGGACCUGCGUUGUAUUAGCUAGUUGGUGAGGUAACGGCUCACCAAGGCGACGAUACAUAGCCGACCUGAGAGGGUGAUCGGCCACACUGGGACUGAGACACGGCCCAGACUCCUACGGGAGGCAGCAGUAGGGAAUCUUCGGCAAUGGGGGGAACCCUGACCGAGCAACGCCGCGUGAGUGAAGAAGGUUUUCGGAUCGUAAAGCUCUGUUGUAAGAGAAGAACGGGUGUGAGAGUGGAAAGUUCACACUGU